rnacentral:rRNA from 1 species
AGCUCCAAUAGCAUAUAUUAAAGUUGUUGCAGUUAAAAAGCUCAUAGUUGGAUUUCUGGUGGGAGCACAGGUUGGCCCUCAUGGGUUGUACUGUUGUUGUGUCCUGCUGUUUUGGAGGGAAUGGCCUCGCUAUUAAGUUAGCAUGGUCGGGAACUCUGUCAUUUACUGUGAAAAAAUUAGAGUGUUCAAAGCAGGCCUUUGCUGUGAAUACAUUAGCAUGGAAUAAUAAGAUAGGACUGUAGUGCUAUUUUGUUGGUUUGCAUACUAUGGUAAUGAUUAAUAGGGAUAGUUGGUGGUAUUCAUAUUCAAUUGUCAGAGGUGAAAUUCUUGGAUUUAUGGAAUAUGAACUACUGCAAAAGCAUUUAUCAAGGAUGUUUUCA